rnacentral:rRNA from 1 species
GGACUACCCGGGUUUCUAAUCCUGUUCGUUACCCGAGCCUUCGUCCCUCAACGUCAGUUAUUAGAUAAAAGGUUGCUUUCGCCGUUAUCAGUCCUUAUGGUAUCAGCAAAUUUCAUCUCUACUCCAUAAAUACUCCCCUUCUUAUAUAAAACUCUAGUAUAUUAGUAUCUUAUUUAAAGACAAAUAUUACCGUCUAGGUACCCUUUAAACCUAUUAAAGAUGAAUAACACUAGUCUUUUACGUAUUACCGCGGCGGCUGGCAC